GAUGAAUGCUGGCGGCGUGCCUAACACAUGCAAGUCGAGCGGCAACGCGAGUAGUUUACUACUUGGCGGCGAGCGGCGGACGGCUGAGUAACGCGUGGGAACAUGCCCCAAAGUGAGGAAUAACCGCCCGAAAGGGUGGCUGAUGCCGCAUAUGAUCUUCGGAUUAAAGGAUUUAUCCGCUUUGGGAAUGGCCUGCGUAC
rnacentral:rRNA from 1 species